GUACUCGCAUUAGAUUUGCUCGAACUAUAUAUAAGGCUCAGAAUGCAGAUUUGAUCCGACUUUUCAGGUUCCAGUCAAAUGGGAUUCAAAUAGUUUCCAAUCUUUUGACAUCCGAUAUGUCAUCAAACUUGAUUUUGGAUAUGACUUAAACUGAGAAUAUUAUGAAAUGGUAUAUUGAGACACCAACAAUUUCACAAUCUCUACUCCUCUCGCAUUGCUCCAACCUACUCUGAGCUUCCUCCCUACCCACCCCCAGCUCCUCCAAAAUGGGGGAACAAAGGAAGAACUAUCAAUCUUCCUGACUCCCUCCCUACCUUGUAUAGCCUGCUGUGAAUUGGAAAUCCCAACCCCCUCUUUGCCCUCCUUUGCCUGCUCUGAUUUUGGAGAGCUCACUUUUAGCCCCGCCCUCAUCUUUUUCUCCACUCCCUCUCUCUGCGUUCUUCACCUCAACCUACCACAAUUUGGAAUUCUACCCAUACGCCUGCCUCCCUCGCCUCCUUCCUCACG
rnacentral:lncRNA from 1 species